UUCCGCUUUCUCUAAAACUUUCGAACUCUAGCUAAUAACGAAUCUCACAAUUUGACUUCAACAGCUCAUUCACCUUGUCGACAUAGUUCUCCAAGCUGACCUGCGUCGAGUCCCCGACCUCCUUCUCCAACCUGACCUGCUCCAAGUCCCCGACUUCAUUCUCCAACCUAAGCCGACUGGAGCCGCCUCCGACCUGUCUCUCCCUCAUUAACCGCCUCCGACCUUAUUGUCUUUCAAGUCACAGAUCUGGUAGAGUCUUAUCGAAUCCAACCCACAAACCAAAAUGGGUGGUAUAGUCUUAUCAUAUCCAGCCAUAUUCUCUCAGAGCCAUAACGGAUUCAGUCUCGCCUUCUCUAGGAUCUCUCACAAUCCAAACCCCAAUUUCCCGAUCGAGUUCAGUGAGGUUGAAAUAGAGAUGGCAAAUGGUAAAGAGAUGAGUUCCAGUGAGUUUGUGGAGAGGUACUUGGAGAAUAACCAGCCUGUGGUGCUCAUAGGUCUCAUGGAUGAUUAGAGGGCUUGCAGAGAUUGGGUCACUGAUGAAGGCAAUCCCAAUCUUCAAUUUUUCGCUACCCAUUUUGGAAGAUCCAAAGUCCAGCGGCUCAGCCCCACCUCACUUCCCAAAUCUGAAGCACCUGUCAUCAUCUUUUCAAUCACUCACCUCUCUUGAAUCCCUUAACAUUUGGGAUUGUCUGAAGCAAGCAUCUAUUAUUCCAGAAAAAGAGGAUCGUCUGCCUCUUUCACUUACACAGCUUCUCAUCUAUUGUUUCCAUAAGGGCUGUCCGCUGCUCCAUCAUAUAUAUAUAUAUAUAUAUAUAUAUAUAUAUGUUUCAAGCUUCAAGCUUCAGAAUCAACUACACACUGUAUACACAACCACAAUCUCCUUCAUUUUCUUCAAUUCGUCACAAUCAGGGCAUGAUUGAUUGGCUUUAGAGUCGCAACCGGGCAAUCUAAGUGGUUGAUAAUGGGACAUAUUAGGCAAGAAAAUUGCAUUAUAUUGGCAAUUACUCCUGCCAACGCUGAUUUAGCCACCUCUGAUGCACUGCAACUCGCUAGAGAAGCUGACCCUACUGGUAUCCUAAUUAUUGCUGUUAAUUUAGCUUUACAUGCAUACAUUGUGUUCCAGAGUGUUCAUUUGUUCCCUGAAUCCAUACAUUGUUCUCUAUCACUGACGCAAAUGCAUUAAUAGGUUUUCGUACCAUUGGUGUCAUCACCAAGGUCUGUCUUUCUCCUCUUUGAUUCCUGGUUUUGUGCUUUGGUAAAAGUCUGAUAAGGCACUUUUGUUCUGUCUGUAGCUGGAUAUAAUGGACAGGGGCACCGAUGCCAGCAACUUUUUGCUCGGGAAAGUUGUUCCCCUUAAGCUCGGUUAUGUUGGUGUUGUCAACCGUUGUCAGGAGGGCAGCAGCAAGUAAAAGGUGGAGAAAGUUGUUUGCAAUGAGAGCACCUCAAGAAUUUUGAUCUGGGCUUCUAGUUCUGGUUCAAGAUUGCCAGUCAAGACUAUGAUAGCCAGUGAGGUAUUUAAGCAUGCCGCUACCAUUUUAGGGUGUUGAACUUCUGGUAAGAAUAAAACUGGAGUUUUUUUUAAGCUUGUUGUGGGAUUUUGCAUGCGUGUUGAAGUUCUUCGAGCGCGGUUGUAGGAACAAAGCAGGCUUCAGAACUAAAGGAGCAAAUUUUUUGGAGAUGUUGUGCUGCUAAAUCUUAUUCUUGGAGUGACAGAUUCCUACAGCAGCAAGGUUAUGCAUACAAGCUGGAGCUGCAGGAAUAAUUGUAUCCAAUCAUGGAGCUCGGCAACUAGAUUAUGUCCCUGCAACCAUUAUGUCUUUGGAAGAGUGGGCGGUAAAGGAUCGGAAAUGGUAUACCCAACAACAACUUGACGAGGUGUGCAUUGAAGUAGCCGACUACUUACAGACUGCUGUAGAUUAUGACCAGUUUCUUGAUUUUGAGUUAGACUAGCUUUUGAUUAACUUUUGUAUAGCAAUUAUGAACAAAAAUGAAUACUAAUUGCUAGGCUAGCCUUGUAGUAGGUGAGUUGGGGUUUUAUUUUGCCCAUUUUGUAAACUGUUUAGGAUGUGAUUUUAGAUAAAAUAUCCCAAUAUUCAAAUCA